GCGGCCGCGGCGCCCCCUGCCGGCCGCGGAGGGCGCGCCUUGGAGGGAGAGGACUUUAGGUGACGCCGCCAGGAGGCGAAAUUUCACCUGCCAGCAGCUCUGGAGGUCAAAAGAAAUGAGACUGCUGGGCUAAGAUCAAGGUGUCAGCAGGGCUGUAUUCCUUCCCAAGGCUCCAGGGGAGAAUCUGUUCACUUGCCUUUCCCAGCUUCUAGAGGUUGCCUACAUUCCUUGGCUUGCGGACCCUUCCUCCAUCUCCAGAAUCAGUAACGAAAGAUCCAAAGCCAUAUCCUGGCUGAGUUGGCUGAGUUGAGCAGGACACUGACAAGGAGGCUGCUGAGCCUGCAACUCGACUGUUCUGUUUGAGGAGCUCUGUGCUUUAUCAUAGAAAUGGAUCUGAGAUGUGGUCUCCCUAUGCUGCCCAGGCUCAUCUCAAACUCCUGGGCUCAAGCAUUCCUCCCACCUUGGCCUCCUAAAGUGCUGGGAUCAUAGGCGUGAACCACUGUGCCUGGCCUCAUGAUAUAACUUCUUAAUGUUAGUUUUUCCUUAAAGAGGGACUGCUUGCAGAGAGCUGUCACUUCUUUCUGCUUAGAACAGAUGAAAAUACAGAAGUAUAACAUCUCUAGUGGCUCAAAGAUAUACACAGAGCAUUAACAAUCCACUCACAGGAGUGUCAACACAUAUGCAGACAUCUGCCAUGCAUAGUUUGAAAAAACACCCCUGCAUCUGUAAGGACAGAUCUGUAUUUGUCAUUAGAGGGGAACAUUACAUUCAAAUUAUUUUAACAAAUGAACUUUGGGAUUUAAAAAACCACUGCUUUUCCCUUUAAUUCCAGUGCCUGUAUAACCUGCUUGAGUGAUGGGACAAAAAGUUAAUUCUACUUCUCUGUUGUUUCAUAGAAUAAUAUAUUUAGCUUCAAAAGAUAAUGUGAAGUUUCUCUAAAGAGAAAACAAAUUCUAGUGUGAUCAGGUGAUUUGGAAGCUGAGAUCUACAACACAGACUCCAGUGACUAAUGAGUGGUAUAAAACACAAUACAAUUAUAAAAAGAUGACUGUGAGGAAUUUUUAUUUUCC
rnacentral:lncRNA from 1 species